GUAGGUGGCAAGCGUUGUCCGGAAUUAUUGGGCGUAAAGCGCGCGCAGGUGGUUCUUUAAGUCUGAUGUGAAAGCCCCCGGCUCAACCGGGGAGGGUCAUUGGAAACUGGGGAACUUGAGUGCAGGAGAGGAAAGUGGAAUUCCACGUGUAGCGGUGAAAUGCGUAGAUAUGUGGAGGAACACCAGUGGCGAAGGCGACUUUCUGGCCUGUAACUGACACUGAGGCGCGAAAGCGCGGGGAGCAAACAGGGAUUAGAUACCCUGGUAGUCCACGCCGUAAACGAUGAGUGCUAAGUGUUGGGGGGGUUUCCCGCCCCUCAGUGCUGCAGCUAACGCAUUAAGCACUCCGCCUGGGGAUACGGUCGCAAGACUG
rnacentral:rRNA from 1 species